rnacentral:rRNA from 1 species
GUAAUAUAUCGGAACGUGCCCUGGAGUGGGGGAUAACGCAGCGAAAGUUGCGCUAAUACCGCAUACGAUCUACGGAUGAAAGUGGGGGAUCCGCAAGGACCUCAUGCUCGUGGAGCGGCCGAUAUCUGAUUAGCUAGUUGGUAGGGUAAAAGCCUACCAAGGCAUCGAUCAGUAGCUGGUCUGAGAGGACGACCAGCCACACUGGAACUGAGACACGGUCCAGACUCCUACGGGAGGCAGCAGUGGGGAAUUUUGGACAAUGGGGGCAACCCUGAUCCAGCAAUGCCGCGUGAGUGAAGAAGGCCUUCGGGUUGUAAAGCUCUUUUGUCGGGGAAGAAACGGUGAUUUUUAAUACAGAUCACUAAUGACGGUACCCGAAGAAUAAGCACCGGCUAACUACGUGCCAGCAGCCGCGGUAAUACGUAGGGUGCAAGCGUUAAUCGGAAUUACUGGGCGUAAAGCGUGCGCAGGCGGUUAUGUAAGACAGAUGUGAAAUGCCCGGGCUCAACCUGGGAACUGCAUUUGUGACUGCAUGGCUAGAGUGUGUCAGAGGGGGGGUAGAAUUCCACGUGUAGCAGUGAAAUGCGUAGAGAUGUGGAGGAAUACCGAUGGCGAA